rnacentral:lncRNA from 1 species
CUGGAUUUUGCAGACUACUUCUUCCUAUGUAGAUAAGCUAGUACAGGAAAGAUUCUGCAGAAGGAGUGUGGAAUAUUCUGACAUGUGACUAAAGAAUCCAGGGACAGCUUCUUAGAAAACUUGAGACGCCACAGCUUACAGUGUUCCAGCUGCAUAGUUUUCACAGAGCUGUCUGCCAACCAUUUCAGGACUGAGGUCUUGUGCCCUUUUUAUACCCC